UGGAGUCCAUCUCUCUCAAAUCUAAUUUUCACACGAUGAUUUUUCAAUUCCUACAAUUCUACUUCGUCGUCGUCGUUUCAAAUUCAUGAAAAUUGUCGUCUCAACUUUGUAUUCAACACCAUCCCACUCUCAUUAAUCAAAGCUUCUCUUUACUCCUUUCAUUUGAGAUGGAUUCCUUUCACCUACUUUAUGUUUCUCCUCCUAUAUAAUUUGUUUUUUAUAACUUUAUAUCUAAUAAAAAUUUCCACCUUCGGCAGAAGGAAAAAAAAAGCAUAUGGCCACAAAUCUGCAAUGAAGAUCUGAGUUAGCAAGAAGCAAUUUAGGAGCACGAGGAAUCGCAUCUGGAGUCAGCUGGCUGAGUUAGGGUCAACCAAAAGAUCAUAGAGAUGCUUCCCAUCAAGAGAGCUUCUCCCUAAUGAAUUCAUAUUUCUAAGUUAUAUGAACCAAGUCUUGCGGCUGCAGUGGAUGAUGUUCAGAGAGCAGGUGCUGACAAUUGGUGGCAAUACUCACAAGGAGUGUAUUGGCAACAAGGACUACACAUGAUUUGUUGAUGGGUCAAAUGAUUUACCUAAACUGGGACAUCUUCUAAUCAGAUCAUGUAUGUGCCACUGCCAAGUACAACGUCCCGAGCCAUCACUGGUGAGCCAAUCUACCUCAUCGACCAUCUUGGCCAAGCCUCGCAUAACUUCAAUCUCAUCAAGAAACUUGCUUUAUUUGAUGGUAAUGUCCCACGGUGUCUCCACCAUUCUAUUCCCACAAGUGAUUCACUCUUCAAGAAUCAAUCCCCAUGAUCUCCAACUUCAACAAAGGCUGCUGCUUCCAAAACUCUUGAUAUUUAAUCCGCGGACAAAGACAUGUACGCUUUCUACAAAGAGGUUGAGAAUGAGAGCAAGCCUCAGAUGUAUAUGCAGACACAUACUGAGAUCAACGAAAAGAUGAGAUGGAUUCUCCUACACUUGCUUGUACGUUCAUGUCAAGUUUGACCUGUCUCCUGAGACGCUUUACCUCACCAUCAACACACCUGUCUCUAAAAACUAUUCCGAGAGCGAGCUACAGCUUCUAGGCAUUGGUGCUUUGCUUAUAGCCUCCAAAUAAGAAAUCUGGCCUCCUCAGGUCAAUGAUUUGUUAUACGUCACAGACAACUCUUACCAGUGCAAUCAAAUUCUCAUGAUGGAGAAAACCAUUUUGGGAAAUCUGGAGUGGUACUUGUCAGUUCCAACACAGUAUGUGUUCCUUGCAAGGUUCAUCAAAGCUGCCAAUCCAGACCCGGAGAUGGAGAACAUGGUUCACUUCUUAGCUGAGUUGGGUCUGAUGAAUUACGACACUUUGAAGUUAUUUAUUCAAAGUGUUUUGAGGGUAAGAAGGCUCAAAUUUUGUAUCAGUUUGUCUGAUGCACAGAGAGGUCAUGCUUUAGCUAUAAACGUCUUGCUCCGAGGUUAGCUGCACUGAGAAUAGAACUCUGUCCAUGCCAUAUGACUGUUGGUUACUUCUUGAAAGUCUAUUUUGUUCUUCUCCUUUCACGGCUCAAUAAACAUAAUGCUCAGCUUUUGUCCUCUCCAUAGUUUGCAGGUGAUGGAAGCAAGGGCAUUGUGGAUGAAAGAGCUUCAGAAUCAAAACACUUCCACAGACAGGCUAUAGAGAUAUUCUUAAGGAAGUGAUUACACCAUCAACUUCGAGAUACUACAACCAUGCUCCCCCUGAGUUUCUGUCGCCAAGAACAUAUACCCUCGAUCCUCCUUCAAUCAUGUAUCACGAUUUUGAGAAACGGCAGAUCGCGGUUCUGAAAAUGCAGAGUUCAUUAAUGAAGCUGUUAUUUAGGAACAACCAAUCCAGAAGAACGAGAAAAGUAGUGCAAGCCUAAGCCUAACACCCAAUGAUGAUGGUGAUUGGCCAGAAGAAGAAGAUGAUGCUCGUGAUUGGGCUCCAAUGUUCACAGGGAAUGAUGAUGAUGUUUCUUUCAGUGAUCUUGAAGGUGACGCUGAUAUAAGUAAGCACUAAAGUCUAAGAUUACCUCAAAGGGAACAGACCAAAAAGGAACAUGAAAUAGUCAAGACGAUGAUGGUUAACAUUGUUGUCAAAAAAAAAAUGAAGAUGUAUAGCUGAAAAGAACAAUAUACCCAAAUCUUACCUUAACUACACCAUUCAUAUUUUAAAAUCAAAUAGGAAAGUUGAAAGUUGUGCAGA